rnacentral:rRNA from 1 species
UGAACGCUGGCGGCGUGCUAACACAUGCAAGUCGAACGAUGAUAGAGAGCUUGCCUUCUUGAUUAGUGGCGCACGGGUGAGUAAUGCAUAGAUAAUGUGCCCCUUAGUUCGGGAUAGCCACUGGAAACGGUGAUUAAUACCGGAUACUCCUUCUUGUUAUAAGACAAGUCGGGAAAGUUUUUCGCUAAGGGAUCAGUCUAUGUUCCAUCAGCUUGUUGGUGAGGUAAUGGCUCACCAAGGCUAUGACGGAUAUCUGGUUUGAGAGGAUGAUCAGACACACUGGAACUGAGACACGGUCCAGACUCCUACGGGAGGCAGCAGUGAGGAAUAUUGCACAAUGGAGGAAACUCUGAUGCAGCAACGCCGCGUGGAGGAUGACGCAUUUCGGUGUGUAAACUCCUUUUAUUAGGGAAGAUAAUGACGGUACCUAAUGAAUAAGCACCGGCUAACUCCGUGCCAGCAGCCGCGGUAAUACGGAGGGUGCAAGCGUUACUCGGAAUCACUGGGCGUAAAGGGUGCGUAGGCUGGCUUUUAAGUCAGAUGUGAAAUCCAAUGGCUCAACCAUUGAACUGCAUUUGAAACUGAAAGCCUAGAGUUCAGAAGGGGCAGAUGGAAUUAGUGGUGUAGGGGUAAAAUCCGUAGAUAUCACUAGGAAUAUCAAAAGCGAAGGCGAUCUGCUGGGAUGAUACUGACGCUGA